UACGAAGGGGGCUAGCGUUGUUCGGAUUUACUGGGCGUAAAGCGCACGUAGGCGGGCUGUUAAGUCCGGGGUGAAAUCCUGGAGCUCAACUCCAGAACUGCCUUUGAUACUGGCAACCUAGAGGCUGGAAGAGGUUAGUGGAAUUCCCAGUGUAGAGGUGAAAUUCGUAGAUAUUGGGAAGAACACCAGUGGCGAAGGCGGCUAACUGGUCCAGAUCUGACGCUGAGGUGCGAAAGCGUGGGGAGCAAACAGG
rnacentral:rRNA from 1 species